rfam:Eubacterium limosum KIST612, complete genome.
AAGUUAUAAAACGUUCAUCCAUAGACAGCAGGGACUGCAGUUUAAAUAUCCUGCCGAGGCUGAAGAGACACGAGCAUUAUAUACAUGAUGAUAUAGGCUCUCUUCACCUGCGUGGAGAGAGCUUUUUAUAUGACUAA